UCCAUCAUCUUUCUCCCAAAU
rnacentral:piRNA from 1 species